rnacentral:rRNA from 1 species
UGCAGCUUGCUGCGGGUACUCGAGUGGCGAACGGGUGAGUAACACGUGGGUGAUCUGCCUUGCACUUCGGGAUAAGCUUGGGAAACUGGGUCUAAUACCGGAUAGGACAGCUGUUUAGUGUCAGUUGUGGAAAGUUUUUUCGGUGCAAGAUGAGCUCGCGGCCUAUCAGCUUGUUGGUGGGGUAAUGGCCUACCAAGGCGUCGACGGGUAGCCGGCCUGAGAGGGUGUACGGCCACAUUGGGACUGAGAUACGGCCCAGACUCCUACGGGAGGCAGCAGUGGGGAAUAUUGCACAAUGGGCGGAAGCCUGAUGCAGCGACGCCGCGUGGGGGAUGAAGGCCUUCGGGUUGUAAACUCCUUUCGACAGGGACGAAGCGUAAGUGACGGUACCUGUAUAAGAAGCACCGGCUAACUACGUGCCAGCAGCCGCGGUAAUACGUAGGGUGCGAGCGUUGUCCGGAAUUACUGGGCGUAAAGAGCUCGUAGGUGGUUUGUCGCGUCGUCUGUGAAAUUCCGGGGCUUAACUCCGGGCGUGCAGGCGAUACGGGCUGACUUGAGUGCUGUAGGGGAGACUGGAAUUCCUGGUGUAGCGGUGAAAUGCGCAGAUAUCAGGAGGAACACCGAUGGCGAAGGCAGGUCUCUGGGCAGUAACUGACGCUGAGGAGCGAAAGCAUGGGUAGCGAACAGGAUUAGAUACCCUGGUAGUCCAUGCCGUAAACGGUGGGCGCUAGGUGUAGGGGGCUUCCACGUCUUCUGUGCCGUAGCUAACGCAUUAAGCGCCCCGCCUGGGGAGUACGCCGCAAGG